GCGGCUUUAGCUCAGUUGGGAGAGCGUUAGACUGAAGUUCAACUUCAGUUUGCAAAAACAAGUUAAUCUAAAGGUCGCCUGUUCGAUUCAGGCAAGCCGCA